rnacentral:rRNA from 1 species
CCUACGGGAGACAGCAGUGGGGAAUAUUGCACAAUGGGGGAAACCCUGAUGCAGCGACGCCGCGUGAGUGAAGAAGUAUUUCGGUACGUAAAGCUCUAUCAGCAGGGAAGAAAAUGACGGUACCUGACUAAGAAGCCCCGGCUAACUACGUGCCAGCAGCCGCGGUAAUACGUAGGGGGCAAGCGUUAUCCGGAUUUACUGGGUGUAAAGGGAUCGUAGACGGCAGCGCAAGUCUGGAGUGAAAUCCCAUGGCUUAACCAUGGAACUGCUUUGGAAACUGUGCAGCUAGAGUGCAGGAGAGGUAAGCGGAAUUCCUAGUGUAGCGGUGAAAUGCGUAGAUAUUAGGAGGAACACCAGUGGCGAAGGCGGCUUACUGGACUGUAACUGACGUUGAGGCUCGAAAGCGUGGGGAGCAAACAGGAUUAGAUACCCCAGUAGUC